AACGUAGGAGGCAAGCGUUAUCCGGAUUUACUGGGCGUAAAGCGCGUGCAGGCGGUUUGGUAAGUUGGAUGUGAAAGCUCCUGGCUUAACUGGGAGAGGUCGUUCAAUACUGCCAGACUUGAGGAUGGUAGAGGGAGAUGGAAUUCCGGGUGUAGUGGUGAAAUGCGUAGAUAUCCGGAGGAACACCAGUGGCGAAAGCGGUCUCCUGGACCAUUUCUGACGCUCAGACGCGAAAGCUAGGGUAGCAAACGGG
rnacentral:rRNA from 1 species